AUGGCAAUCUGCUUUAUGUUGGCUUUAUCAUCUCAGGAUAAUCCAGAUGUUUUCAUAUGCCUUGAGGAGUUGUCGGUGGAUUAUAUGCAGAGGCUACCAAGUGGUAGCUCCAAUGUUGCAAGAGCAUGGCCUGCAUGUUGCAGUCUGUGGGACGGCCGACUCUGGAAAAUCAAGUUUGCUCUCUUGAAUGGUAUGGUUCCAAAGCUAUUAGGAGAGGCCAAGACUUGCGGAACAAUGCCAUAUGUCAGCCAGACUGCAUGGAUACAAAGCGACAAAAUUCAGGACAACAUACUGCUCGCUCGGCAAGGAGAUGGAGAGGGAGAAGUAUGGAAGGGUCCUUGA
rnacentral:rRNA from 1 species